rnacentral:rRNA from 1 species
GAUGAACGCUGGCGGCGUGCCUAAUACAUGCAAGUCGAGCGAACAGACGAGGAGCUUGCUCCUCUGACGUUAGCGGCGGACGGGUGAGUAACACGUGGAUAACCUACCUAUAAGACUGGGAUAACUUCGGGAAACCGGAGCUAAUACCGGAUAAUAUAUUGAACCGCAUGGUUCAAUAGUGAAAGACGGUUUUGCUGUCACUUAUAGAUGGAUCCGCGCCGCAUUAGCUAGUUGGUAAGGUAACGGCUUACCAAGGCAACGAUGCGUAGCCGACCUGAGAGGGUGAUCGGCCACACUGGAACUGAGGCACGGUCCAGACUCCUACGGGAGGCAGCAGUAGGGAAUCUUCCGCAAUGGGCGAAAGCCUGACGGAGCAACGCCGCGUGAGUGAUGAAGGUCUUCGGAUCGUAAAACUCUGUUAUUAGGGAAAAACAAAUGUGUAAGUAACUAUGCACGUCCUGACGGUACCUAAUCAGAAAGCCACGGCUAACUACGUG